rnacentral:lncRNA from 1 species
AGUUGAGUUAGAAGCUGGCUGGCUGAGAAUAAGAAAAUACAGUAUGUGAGCACUUGGAGGAGAAACUGUAGGUUGCAAUAGUGGAAGGGAGGAGGAUUUUGAGCAAAAGAAGAAACUUGUGUUGUUAGGAGCUGCGACCACGCUAUUCAUUGCCUGAGUAGCCAAGCAUGUUAAGAGCAGUCAGCAGCCAUGAAGAGAUUAGAAGUUCAUUUUCCAGAAGUACAAAGUUUGGAUAGGGAGCAGCUCAGUAGCACAAUGUUAGAGCAGAAGAAAUCAUGACCUCCGUUUGAUCCCCAACCCUUCAAAAAUUUCAUAGGUUUCUGCUGGAAAGGAAGACAUCACUUUCUAGAAAUAUCUCUAUGAAAUGGCUCGCACAGACUGUGGACCAGGGAAGGAUGAUGCUACAGAUGCACGGUCUCUCCAAGGCACCAACUGAAUCAAGCAUCUGUGUAGAGAGAAGAGAUUCAGCCCCAAGAUGAGAUCCAGGAAUCUAGGAUGUACUCAGGGAGAUGAAGACUACAGCCUACUCAUUCUGUCACUUUAUGCCCCCCUCUUUCUCCUCUCACUCUCUCAGUAUGGUGCAUUAUAGAACAACAAAGAGAGAAAAGGAAAUGAAGACCAUGAGCCUUGCAUAAUAAAUAUUAACUGAGAAGUACCUGGAUCUUAUGAGAAAUAUAUACCUUAUUAAAAAAAGCCAUGCUCUUCAAACUGGCCAGGAUUUAAGUGAUUUCCAGUGAGUACCUUACAAGAAUUCUUCUCAUGUGUGGAGGAGAAGUUCAACACCAUAAAUGGAUGUGGUACAGCGCCCCAGAGGGAAUUACAAUGAAAGUGAAAUCCAAAGAAUUCCAAGAGAACCACACCUGCAGAUCAUGCUCCAUUCAUUUGUGUACUUCCCCCUACUCAGUCUUUAAACCCACAGUGUAGCAAUUUCCAAAGGGAGCUCAAUGCAUAGAUCCCAGGCCCCUUCAUAUGAGCUCAUGGUUGUAUAAACCUCAGUGUCCAUAUCCUACUGAAACUCUGCCCAGAGGAAAGCAUGUGUUUUCUCAGAACUACUUAUUUUGCUCUUAGAUUAUUUUUAAAAUUUUACUCUUAGAUAUUUAUUGACCUUGAUAAUAUACUAAACUGUUUUUGUUUGUUUGUAUGUUUGUAUUUUAUUGUGGUUAUGUUCUCUUUAAGGUCCAUUACAGUGUUGGAAAACAGUGUAUUCUCUAAAUAAAAAAGAGAAAAAUUUAAAUUAAA